rnacentral:rRNA from 1 species
GUGCCAGCAGCCGCGGUAUUACGAAGGGUGCAAGCGUUAAUCGGAAUUACUGGGCGUAAAGCGCGCGUAGGUGGUUUUUUAAGUUGGAUGUGAAAGCCCCGCGCUCAACCUGGGAACUGCAUCCAAAACUGGCAAGCUAGAGUAUGGCAGAGCGUGGUGGAAUUUCCUGUGUAGCGGUGAAAUGCGUAGAUAUAGGAUGGAACACCAGUGGCGAAGGCGACCACCUGGGCUAAUACUGACACUGAGGUGCGAAAGCGUGGGGAGCAAACAGGAUUAGAUCCCCUGGUAGUCC